GGGUGAGAAUCUAUUGGGUCUACAAGAUGAUGAUGAAGAUGACGAUGAUUAUUUGCAUGUAUUAAGUGAUGCAGGUGAAGAUGGUUCUCCGAUCCCAAGAAGACAUCAAGAUGCUUCUCCGAUUCCUAGAAGGCGUCGGCGUUUGACUCGGUCAAGGUCUGAUGAUCAGUCAUGAAAGAUGAUGGCAAUUUUCUGGUAAUUCUCUGGUUUCUUGACUCAAAUUUUCUACUGGAAUUGAAUUACCGAUAGCCAUCUGCUGACUUAUUGGCAUCUUUACUAUUAAUGUACCAGUAAUUUGCAGAAACUGCCAGCAGAAUCAUUAUGGUGAUUAAGUAUCUGGGUGUCUGCUAACAGUCUGCCAGGGAUGAUGGUUAAGCAAAGAAAGAUUUGUUCAACGAUUAUAAAGGGCAGAUUCUGUUUCAACUUUGUUGGUU
rnacentral:misc_RNA from 1 species